ensembl:lincRNA
AUGAUGCAUUUUCUUUGUAGUUUAACCUCUCUCCGCCCAACAAAGAGGACAGAGAACAGGUCUCACUGCUCUUCAGGGAAACUCACAGGAGACCCUGGAGAGCCAGCCAUCCUCACAGCCUGCCAGGAAGUCAUCUCACUCCAUAGGCUCUGUCUGCCCCCACACAGCACCCCUGGUGCUGGAGGAACGACCACUGUCAACUUGGACAUUCAGCCACAGAGACCUCAGCCCUCCCGAGGAUCACCCCGGCAGCUGGGCGGUAACCCCGGUCCAGAACCGAGCAGCAGUGCUGACACAGGUGCCCUUUUCCCUCCAUGUGGCCCUUUGGACUCUCCUGAGCUUCAUGAGUGACUUGUGGCAGAGACAGAACCGUGAUAUGAGCCAAGCUGCUGUCUGGGAAAAAUGAGUACCCACUGCCGGCCGCCAUUCUUCCACCUGCCCCCCUCCGGUGCCUCCCAGGACUCUGAUGACAUCAGCCCCAUCCAGAUCAUCCAGGAUCUGCUCCCUGUCUCAGGACCCUUUACGUCAUCACAUCUGCAAAGUCCCCCUGGCCACGUAAGGUCACGUAUUCACAGCUUCCAGGGAUUAGGAUGCGGACAUCUUUGGGGACCAUGACUCUGCUAAUCACAGAGCCAAAUGAGGUCACUGGGGAGAAAGGGCCAGCAGAGGAGAGAGAGGGCUGGAGGCCUGGGCAGCACAGGUGAGCUUAGGGAGGAGCCAGCUCCAGACAGAGCCGUCAGGUGGGGGCAGCCUCAAGAGUGAUGGGCCUUGGAGGCCACGAGGGUGGAGAGACGUCAUUAGCUGCGAUGCAGACUGACCAGGGCCCGUGGCAGCCUGGUGACAGUGCAGCAGGAGCAGUCUUAGUGGAGGGAGGGAAGGCGGCAGGAGGGAGCAGGUGGAAGACGAAACAGGAAGAGUGGCAGGUCCAGGCACCUUCUCAGAGAGCAUUACCGGGGAGGCCGGGGCCGCUGUGGAAUGCGUGAAGCUGGUGGUCUCUGCUUGCAUCAGACACUCCCGUCAAUUGUCCUGGUUCCAGAGAUACUGCCUGGUCUCUGGGCUCCAUGCAAGGACCUGAGCAGCCCCCAGCACUCCCUUCUGCCCCCUCCUACCUCCCAGCUAGAAUCCGUAAGGACAGGCUCACCAUGAGGGAGGGGCCCGUGAGCACAGUCAUCUCAUGCAGCCUCCUGCAGUGGCACAGUGGACAUCAGCCCUGGUCAGUCAGGAAACGCUCUCUGAGCUCUUUCUUGGCUCCAGAGGCCAGGGUGCAGGCGGCCACCUCAAGUGGACCUGUGGCCCUGGGGGCUGAAACCCCGGGCUCAUGUCUGGCAGCAACACGCUGGAUGUGACCCAUGAAAAGCUUCCCCAAAACCCUCUUUCCCACCGGGCCGGUGCCUGUCACAAAAAGUCCUUUCAGAUUCUUCCUACCACCCCGCACACCCAAGAUGCAGCUUCCAGGGUCCACAGUCCAAAGUGAUUUCAUGCGAUUUGUUCCAGCAAAUGCCUGAGAAGCUGUUUAAUAUCAAAGGAAUAGACCAGGACCCAGGGUUAUGGAAUGUAAAUAUUCUAAAUAUAAAUGCUUUGGGCCACGCGCAGCGGCUCAGGCCUCUAAUUCCAGUGCUCUGGGAGGCUGAGGCGAGCAGACCACUUUAGCUGAGGGGCUGGAGACCGGCCUGGGCAACAUGACCAAACCCUGACUCUUCAAAAAAUACAAAAAUUAACUGGGUGUGGUGGGAGGUGCCUGUAGCUCUACCUACUUGGGAGUCUGAGGCGGGAGGAUCCCCUCAGCCCGCGAGGCUGAGGCUGCAGUGAGCUGUGAUCAUGCGACUGCACCCCAGCCUGGGCAACAAAGCGAGACCCUUUCUAGAUAAAUAAAUAAUAAAUAAAUACUUUGAUCGUGGAAAAUGGUUGCUGUACAGCAACACAGACAACCGGCGUGAUGACUAAGAUAGAAUGCUUGAAUUUAGCCCUUUCUUCUUAAAAGCUGAGCUGUUUUUCUUUUCUUCCCACUGCACCAAGGCUGGCAAAGUAGACUCCUAGCAUCCUUUAUAUGGGAAAGGAAAUGUUAGCCCCUGACCCUGGUGCCCGGUUGACUCCUAGGAACUGAACCUUUGUGUCCCUCCAAAAUCCACGUGUUGGAACGCUAAUCCCCGUGGCAAUGGUGAGGUGAGGCCUUUGGGAGGUUAGGGUUAUAGGUCAUGAAGCUGCAGCCCUCAUGAAUGGUGUGAUGGUGAAUUUUCUGUGUCGACUUGACUGGGCUAACAGGUGUCCAGGUACGUGGUAGAGCAUGACUUCUGGGUGUGCCUGUGACUGUGUUUCCAAAAGCGUUAGAGUCAGCAGACUGAACUCAGAAGAUCGGUUCCCACCACUGUGGAUCGGUGUUAUCCAGUCCAUGGGGGAUGCGGACAGCACCACAAAGUGGACGAAGGGCAAUUUCAUUCUCUCUCCUCUGGAGCUGGGACAUGCGUCUUCUGCUCUGAAACACCAAAAGCAAUGGCAACAAAAACCAAAAUAGACAAAUGGGAUCUAAUUAAACUUAAGAGCUUCCUGCAAGCAGCAAAGAAAAC